rnacentral:rRNA from 1 species
GACGAACGCUGGCGGCGUGCUUAACACAUGCAAGUCGAACGGAAAGGCCCUGCUUUUGUGGGGUGCUCGAGUGGCGAAAGGGUGAGUAACACGUGAGUAACCUGCCCUUGACUUUGGGAUAACUUCAGGAAACUGGGGCUAAUACCGGAUAGGAGCUCCUGCUGCAUGGUGGGGGUUGGAAAGGUUCGGCGGUUGGGGAUGGACUCGCGGCUUAUCAGCUUGUUGGUGGGGUAGUGGCUUACCAAGGCUUUGACGGGUAGCCGGCCUGAGAGGGUGACCGGCCACAUUGGGACUGAGAUACGGCCCAGACUCCUACGGGAGGCAGCAGUGGGGAAUAUUGCACAAUGGGCGGAAGCCUGAUGCAGCAACGCCGCGUGCGGGAUGACGGCCUUCGGGUUGUAAACCGCUUUCGCCUGUGACGAAGCGUGAGUGACGGUAAUGGGUAAAGAAGCACCGGCUAACUACGUG